AAGUACAGAGUCCUGCCUUCGGGUGUUUGGGACUCAGCUGAGCGUGUUGGGUCCCCGCGCUGGAGUGUGGGGGACACAAAGGAAUCCAGAUGCAAGUCGCCUCUUUCCCGCUUUGGCGCUCGAUGCCCCGACUGUCUCGUAGCUCCUCAUGCCGGUGGCCGAGCUCCUAUCAGGUGUCCGAAGGCGGCAUGUUCUGAGGAUCUGUGUUCUGAUGGCUGCUGAAUCAUCUGCUCCAGAUUCAAGGGCGGCAGUCCUCAGGAGACCCCAACACUUUACAUCCCUAGUAGGAUCUGACGCCUGGUGGCCCAUCAGGGAAGGGUGUGGACUCUGAGCUCCAGAAACACGAACUGACAGAGAAGAACCAAGUGUGAUGUCAAGUGUGCAGACAGGUUCCUGGAGCAAGAGUGAGGAGAUCAGGGUCCCAUUAUUGGGACACUUAGGGCAGAGCUCUUCAUGCAGAUGACUGAACCCGUGGUGUUGGGUGGCUGAGAGGAUGCAGCUUCUCAGGACUCUGCAACUGUUGGCUGACAGAUGGGACAUGUUUCCCCUGUGGAGGACCCGCCUGCGCUUCGCGGUUGCCAUAGAAACCUGACGUCAAUAUGGCGACCAUGACGACUUUUUAAUAGAGACAGACGUGGCCUCGCGAGAAGAGCAGGUCCCGCCUUCAGGUGUUGGAUUCUCAGCUGAGGAUGUGGGUCUCCACCGUAGAGGAUGAACCGCCCUGGGGUGUGGGGGAGACACAGCGACCCAGAUCCAAGUCGCCUCUUUCCCGCUCUGGGACUCGUCUCGUAGCUCCUCAUGCCGGUGGCCGAGCUCCUAUCAGGUGUCCGAAGGCGGCAGGUUCUGAGGAUCUGUGUUCUGAUGGCUGCUGAACCAUCUGCUCCAGAUUCAAGGGCAGCAGUCCUCAGGAUACCCCAACACUUCACAUCCCUGGUGGGAUCUGAUGCCUGGCUCAAGUGAGUUCAUAGACCUGAACAAAAGCAUAUUGUGGAAUAGCUCCUGUGAGGGUCACAAGCAGGCCUCAAAGGAGAAGUUACAUUGAUCCCAUCAUGGGAAAAGAGGUUUAGCAGGUGGAAUUCAUUCCAUCAGCAGCUACAUGCUUUGUAGUAGCCCUUGAGGCCCAUCUUAGAGAUGCUUUCUUUGUUUGAAAGCAAUGAAUUGUCUAGUGUGAGGAAGAAACUUGAUCUUUAACAUGCAUUUGGAAUAAAUAUAUAUGCAUUUUUUCUGGCUAUAUGAAUAAUAAUUAAUGAUUCCUAUCUUUCUCUCAAAUGAAUGUGAAUAUAUGCAGUUAUUAGAAGGUCUUCCUAGCAAUUUGAGAUCGUAAUGUGGAUUCUUUCCCGGUGACUUUGGUUUUAUCUAUUCUAUAAUAAAAUUUUUUUAAGAGCCGGAAAAUUUCCAGUGUUAGUUAAAAAUGUCAGUUAUAACAAUUUAGAAUUUUAUAAAAUAAUAAUUACCUAUGCAUUUCCCUAUUAUAGUGGUACCCAGCAAUGUCCCUUUUAAUAAUCAGAUAUUCUUACAUAUCAUCAUGAUUAUAUCCCCAGGACACCAUAUUUUCAGUUCUCUAAUCACUGACCACCCUCUCCCUCACCAUGGCCUGUCCCCAAGCAACCACUGAUCUUCUGUCAAUAGAUUAUUUUAAUUUCCUAUAAUGUUAUGUAAAUAGAAUCACAAAGGUUACAUUUUAUUUUCAUCUGGCUUGUUACAU